rnacentral:tRNA from 1 species
GUCACGAUGCCAGAGUGGUUAAUGGGUUAGACUUGAAAUCUAAUGGUUUCGGCCGCGUAGGUUCAAAUCCUGCUCGUGACG